rnacentral:lncRNA from 1 species
GAGAAUUAUUUACAGUAGUUGUGGUUGUGGCUCACAUCUUCCUCCGGUUUUACAUCCAGUAACGGCUUAAAUGCCUUCUAUGAGUCGAGGAUCAACUUCUCAUCCAGUUUUUUUAUAAAUUGGCAAAUAGAGCCUUUUAUCUUUAGAUUCCCAAGACGAUUCCAUUCAUAUUGGAAUUGAUAUCAUAAAUCAAGAUUUUUUUACACAGCUCCACUAGAAUGGGUUUUAAGAGAAUUCAGAUAUCUCCUAAAUUCUCCUUACACAAUCUGUCCUUAAUGAAUAUUAUUUUAUCUUCUCGAUUUAUAGAUGCUAUCCCAAUAGAUCAACACUGACCAUUAUAGAUCUUGCACACUUUUGAAAAAUCACUCCAAGGCAUUUUACUCUUCGCUUUCUUGCAUAACUGCUCCUACUUGUACUAGGUAAAUGCAAAAAAAGAAGAUAUUCCUCAAAUAGUACCUUUCCUUCAAUUGUCGCUUAAAUGUCUGUAGGCAUGUCCUUAUGCACGAACAUGCUUAAUCUCUCGCAUCUAACCUUGUAAAGCUUCCCUAUCAUAUUUCUGGGGAGACAAGAAAAUCGUUUGUGCAACAUUGAAAUAAUGUUAUCCAUUUUGAAAACAAAGACAGCUUGAGAAAAAGAUUAGAGUACUUUGAAAGCAAAGAAAAUGAGAUGAGAGAGAAGAGUGAAAGGAUUUGAAUUAAAGAAAAUUUAAAAGUAAG